CGUAGUUAAAUUCAGACCGUAGAACAUCCGGUUUGAAUACAUGUGUUUUCUGACUUUUCGGAUACCAACUCUUGUUUUUUGGAACUUACGACUUAUGGCAAGAGAGAAGAAAACUGUGUGACUUUAAAAGAAAACCAGUGAGAUAAAAUUAAAGAAAAUGUAUGAUGAUUCAGGAUGUGGUCAUUUGGUCCUGUUCUGUGGAUGCCCUUAGACAGUGUCUACCCAUCACUCCAUCUGAAAUCACUUGUUCUGUGCAUAUUUCUCUCUCAAACUUAAACUACAGAGAGCCUGUGGAUAGAGGAUGAAGAGUGACCUUGGACUAAUUUUCUAGAUCAAAGAUCAUAGGUGAUGUGAAGAAAACCAGGAAACUGAUGUUGAAAGAAGUACUUAAUGACCCUUAUGAAUGGACUUAAAUGUGAAAUACUGUUCCAUUGUUUAUCUAAGAUAUAUGAAUUUAUUUAAUAUUUUGAUAUCAUUGAAAAAUUCAGUUACAGUUUUUGUACAUCAAAUGAAUUA